ACAUAGAAAUUGAUGUCCUAAAAACUAUUUUUUGGAAGGAGAAUAUUACCAUUCACGGACGUUGGAAUCCUGAAUAAAGGAAGAAAUCGGCAAACAGCACCCUACAGAUUUCAACAAUUCAUUCCCAAUCAUACUCAAAAUCGCGUCCCCACUUCUCUAUUACUGUUGACACAACACAAUUUCUCAGACAUAUUAUUUUUUCAUUUUUUUUUUUUUUACCAUUCCAUUCACUUGGAAUUUCAUAUAUGAAGUUCAUUCCAAAGCCACACCUGUCACAGUACAUUUUAAAACUUUCCUUAGCUAAUUUAAUAUUUCUAUUCAGCCUUUCACAGAUUUUCUUCAGGUGGUGGAUGGUGUUGUCUGAGAACAUCCGAUUAUAAAGGACGAUCAACUUUAUGAAAUAUCUUCAACAUGAGAGUAGUGAAGGUGUAGGCGUGGGUUGUUGAGCCAGCGCUGGACACAGCAGUGACCCUCAGGGAAUAAGUGGUGGAAGGAUCCAGCCCUUCAAUCUCCACCUUGCUGUCCUGGGGACCUCCGCUGGACACUAAAAAGGACCAGAGGAAAUCGUCAGAGGCUUUGCCUUAACUUUCUUAGGGAUGGUGUUGGUGAUGGAGCUGGCGAUAUUCAAGGACCAUGUGCGUGAUGGGACACCCCUGGGCCAUCCACGCCUUGGGGAAGACGGUGACGCUCGAGGAGUUGGGCGUCAGGAAAUGAGACAGCUGAGGGGGUUGAGGUGGA